UACGUAGGGUGCAAGCGUUUAAUCGGAAUUACUGGGCGUAAAGCGUGCGCAGGCGGUGAUGUAAGACAGAUGUGAAAUCCCCGGGCUUAACCUGGGAACUGCGCUUGUAACUGGCAAGCUGGAGUGUGGCAGAGGGGGGUGGAAUUCCACGUGUAGCAGUGAAAUGCGUAGAGAUGUGGAGGAACACCGAUGGCGAAGGCGGGUCUCUGGGCAGUAACUGACGCUGAGGAGCGAAAGCGUGGGGAGCGAACAGG
rnacentral:rRNA from 1 species